rnacentral:rRNA from 1 species
UCCGUGCCGUGAGGUGUCGGGUUAAGUCCCCGAUAACGAGCGCAACCCCUACUCAUUAGUUGCCAUCAGGUCAAGCUGGGGACUCUAAUGAAACUGCCUACGCAAGUAGUGAGGAAGGUGGGGAGUGACGUCAAAUCAGCACGGCCCUUACGUCCAGGGCUACACACGUGCUACAAUGGCCGAUACAGAGGGCAGCUACCUGGUGACAGGAUGCAAAUCUCCAAAGUCGGUCUCAGUUCGGAUCGGAGUCUGCAACCCGACUCCGUGAAGUUGGAUUCGCUAGUAAUCGCGCAUCAGCCAUGGCGCGGUGAAUACGUUCCCGGGCCUU